rnacentral:siRNA from 1 species
CACAAGAUCUACGAAUAAUGCUGC